GACUUCAACUGAAAAAGUCAUCAACAACAAAGUUGAAUAACUCAUCAAGAUCUAAAACUUUUAUUUUUGUUAUUUCUUCAUCCGACGAAAUGUUAGUAAUAUUAUUAACAAAUUUUACAUAUAUGUGUUAUAGUUUAUAAAACCAGAUAAGAGAUAUGUCAAUUUUGUGAACAGUGUUACUAUCACUUUGUCGUAUGAAGAAAUGACCACAAUAAAAGUUUUAGAUCAUGAUAAGUUAUUCAACUUUGUUGUUGAUGACUUUUUCAGUUGAAGUC
rnacentral:pre_miRNA from 1 species